rnacentral:rRNA from 1 species
UAUUCCCCUUAGAGUUUAUCCUGCUCAGAGCAACGCUGCGGCAGGCUUUACACAUGCAAGUCGAGCGGGCAUCCUUGUGGUGUCAGCGGCAGACGGGUGAGUAACGCGUGGGAACGUACCCUUUGGUUCGGAAUAACUCAGGGAAACUUGAGCUAAUACCGGAUACGCCCUUUUGGGGAAAGGCUUGCUGCCGAAGGAUCGGCCCGCGUCUGAUUAGCUAGUUGGUGAGGUUAUGGCUCACCAAGGCGACGAUCAGUAGCUGGUCUGAGAGGAUGAUCAGCCACACUGGGACUGAGACACGGCCCAGACUCCUACGGGAGGCAGCAGUGGGGAAUAUUGGGCAAUGGGGGCAACCCUGAUCCAGCCAUGCCGCGUGAGUGAUGACGGCCUUAGGGUUGUAAAGCUCUUUUCUCCGGGACGAUAAUGACGGUACCGGAGGAAUAAGCCCCGGCUAACUUCGUGCCAGCAGCCGCGGUAAUACGAAGGGGGCUAGCGUUGCUCGGAAUCACUGGGCGUAAAGGGCGCGUAGGCGGCUGAUUUAGUCGAGGGUGAAAGCCCGUGGCUCAACCACGGAAUGGCCUUCGAUACUGGUUGGCUUGAGACCGGAAGAGGACAGCGGAACUGCGAGUGUAGAGGUGAAAUUCGUAGAUAUUCGCAAGAACGCCAGUGGCGAAGGCGGCUGUCUGGUCCGGUUCUGACGCUGAGGCGCGAGACUGGGGAGCAAACAGGAUUAGAUACCCUCGUAGUCAAGG